GAUGACUGGCGCCCAUAAUGCCAAAGAGGAAGUGUAUGAGACUCAAUCCGCAUGGAAAUUUUCAUUUUGUACAAAUGGGUGAAUUCUAGACCAUUGAUCUGAUGCCCACACUCUUUGGAUUGAUCAUGGCCCGAGAAUCUCCUGGAAGGUUGCCAAUAGAAGAUGCAUGAUGCUACUGCCAAGAAGACUUAGGAAGCAUGAUCCAUUCACUGUGGGGCCCAUCAUGUCGAUGAUCUGGAUCUUCGAAUUGAGGUGUGACCAACAAAGACAAUAGUAAUAUAACACAUUACACAUACCUUGGCAAAUGCUUUCCUCAAUGAUGACCUUAUGUAGUAAUCAACUCGAUUCCGUGUGGAAUCCGGAACUGCAUGAUCUGGAAUCUGUGAAGCGACUCUCUGCGCUGCCCCAUUGCUUGAAACACUUUCGUCUAAGAUCUUUGUGGCCGAAAGUGCUAAAGGGAGGAUGUUCUCCACCAACUUGGCAGCAUUCUUCUGAAAGCUCCCAUGGUAAUCGAGCAAUCUCUUUUCAGCCCACCCUUGCAUUGAAGCCAAUGCUGAUGAGAGGAUCCUACCAUACAGGAUAUCCUUAUCGGCCCGCUUGGCAUCGUUCGCAACCUCCGCCAGAAUUGUAAGAGAAGCAAACAAGAGGUCAUGUUCCACUAGGCCUGUUGCAACAAACUGGUGGAAGAGUACCCAUGAAAAACAUACAUUGUGUAUCAACCUAGUAAUGCCCAAGGUGGACCAUGUCUUCUUCAUGAGCUCUACAAGAUCGUCGAUCUCAUCAAUGACCAUGGUCGCAUCCUUGAUAUCAAAGACCGACUGGAGGAUUGCGAUGUAGAGGUGGAGGUUGAUUGGGUAACCAUCUGCCCAGUGACACGUUUCCGGGACGGUGCCAUUGGGGCCCCGCCAAGCUAGUGUCAUUACACAAUUGCACAACGUUUUCAUGGUUUCUGAAUUCUUGCUAGUGUCAAUGAUCUUCGAUUUGCUUGAUUGGAUGAUCUGAUGGAGACGGACUGCGGAAGCGUUCGAUGGGUCCAGGGGGAUCAAAGGGUGCAGGAGGAUGCCUGCUUCCAUGAUUUUUAGCUGGCGCCGUUGCCAGUGGGAGUACUCAUGGGUGCCUUCAAAUUCAGAUGGUUUUAAAUGGCGGAGGAGCUCUAGUGGGAGGAUGAUUGUCUCUGCACGCCGGCUCAUCUGCUCGGAAGAAAGAUUGCAGAAAACAGUGUAUAAGAGCUUGCAGUAUAAAGCAAUGCUGCAGCUAUUUUAUCAGGUAAGUAACAGGAUGUUGGUGUGUGCAGGGAAUGGUUCUUUGUAACAUUGAAACUCUUUUAAGCGUACA